rnacentral:rRNA from 1 species
GGUUCAUUCAAAUUUCUGCCCUAUCAACUUUCGAUGGUAGGAUAGUGGCCUACCAUGGUUUCAACGGGUAACGGGGAAUUAGGGUUCUAUUCCGGAGAAGGAGCCUGAGAAACGGUACUACUCAAGGGAAGGCAGCAGGCGCGCAAAUUACCCAAUCCCGACCGGGGAGGUAGUGACAAUAAAUACUGAUACAGGGCUCUUUUGAGUCUUGUAAUUGGAAUGAGUACAAUUUAAAUCCCUUAACGAGGAACAAUUGGAGGGCAAGUCUGGUGCCAACAGCCGGGUAAUUCCAGCUCCAAUAGCGUAUAUUAAAGUUGUUGCAGUUAAAAAGCUCGUAGUUG